rnacentral:lncRNA from 1 species
UUUCAAUAUUUUAGGGUUGAUUACUGUGUUCAUUCACUACUAAUUUUUUUUUUUUUCUCUAGGGAGAACUUCUGAUGAUGCAGAUUUCUUGGGAAAUGUGUUGAUUUCACCAUAUUCAGGAAGGAUCGAUUAUCAUUUCUUGUGCCUAAGGUUCUUUGCAGAAUUUACAUCAAAAAUGCUUGAAGAAAGAUAGACAGAUAACAUGUAGAAAUAAUAUUUUGGAUGCAUUGGGUUAAAUUGAGUAUAUUAUUAAUGUUAAU